GGUUUUGUAGUGUAGCGGUUAUCACUCCGGAUUCUGAUUCACUCUCAGAACAAAGACCCUUCCGGCAACCCCGGUUCGAUUCCGGGCAAGACCU
rfam:Pyrenochaeta sp. DS3sAY3a unplaced genomic scaffold IQ07scaffold_25, whole genome shotgun sequence.